AGGCCGACACUCUUAAAAAUUGAAUCUAAAGACCUCUCCGUUUUUUUGGUUUACACUUACGGUUAGAUCCUAGUCUGAACUCUCUCUCUCUCUCUCUCUCUCCAUGCAUCGGGUUCGGAGGAACCAAGGCACGAUGAAUCGUCGUCUUCUCAAGAUUCCCGGCGAAAUCUUAACAUCAUCUCGCCUAAAGGAUCUCCUACUAAUCUUCUCGUCCCUCUGCAUUCUUUACCUCGUCGUAUCCCAUUACCGUAUCUCCACGCUCCUCCAAAUACGACAUACACAACCCUAUCCAUCAUCAUCAUCAUCGCCACCCACUUCCCUCAGCCACCUCGCCUUCGCUAUCGCUUCCUCCUCCAAGUCCUGGCCCAACCGUAGACACUACGUCCGUCUCUGGUGGAAACCCCAACUUAUGCGAGGCUACGUAUUCCUCGACCGUAAGCCGCCCGAUUCCGCUACAACCAAUACCACGGAAUCUCUCCCGCCGGUGCUUAUCUCCGAAGACACUUCCCGGUUCCCAUACACCUACAAGGGCGGCCUCCGAUCGGCGAUCCGCGUGUCGCGUAUCGUCUCGGAGAUCGUUGCCCGGAACCUGUCGGACGUCCGGUGGUUCGUGUUCGGGGACGACGACACGGUGUUCUUCCCGGAGAAUCUAGCCAAGACGUUGUCCAAGUAUGAUCACAACCGGUGGUAUUACGUGGGGAGCAGCUCCGAGAGUUUCGAGCAGAAUUCCAGGUUCUCGUUUGAAAUGGCGUUUGGGGGAGGAGGGUUUGCGAUUAGCUACCCGCUGGCUAGGGUUUUAGCGAGGGUGAUGGAUUCGUGUCUGAUGAGGUACUCGCAUUUGUACGGAAGUGAUUCGAGGAUUUUCUCAUGCUUGGCGGAGCUUGGUGUCGGUUUAACGCAUGAAUCUGGAUUCCAUCAGGUUGAUAUCCGUGGAAAUCUGUUUGGACUGCUCUCUGCUCAUCCGUUAGCACCUAUAAUAUCUCUUCAUCAUUUGGAUUCUGUGGAUCCUAUUUUCCCCAAUAGGAGCCAGAUUCAAGCUCUAGAACAUCUAUUUAAUGUUGUCAAUGUUGAUCCUGCCAGGAUUUUGCAGCAAACUGUUUGCUAUGACCAGUCAAAUUCACAGACUGUUUCAGUUUCUUGGGGUUAUGCAGUUCAGGUGUUUGAAGGAAUUCAACUUCUUCCAGACCUCAUUUUGAUGCAGAGAACGUUCAUGCCAUGGAGGAGAAGUCUUAAUGUUAAUUUAAGUCAUUUCAUGUUUAACAUGAGGGUGUUUCCCAAAGAUCCAUGUAAAAGACCUUCAAUUUUCUUUCUUGGAAAUGUUUUAACUAAUACAAAUGUAACCCAGAGUAACUACAGCAAGGAUACUAUAAGAAGUUGCUUGAAGAAGAGUGCAUCACAAAAUCUAGAACAGAUCAAAGUCUUCUCUCCGAAGCUAGAGCUUGACUAUGGACAGUUACAGGCUCCAAGACGUCAUUGCUGUGAUAUUUUGCCUUCUUCCUCUGAAAAAGUGAUGAAAAUUCGCAUUAGACAAUGUUUAGAUGAAGAAAUAAUUUCCAUGCAUUAGUAGCAUCUUGAGAAGUGCUGCUAGCUUACAGGAGUUUCUUCGUGAAAGAGGACUGGGAAUUUUCUCACGGUUUAGAAUUUUUAUGGGGAAUUCAGGAGGGCAAUUCUAAGGUUCACCUACAUCAAUCUCAUCCAAACUAAACAGAUUCACAAGAGUUUGGUUGCAGUUAAUUGGGCAUAUUAGAAGCCAUGGUUUUCCAAGGUGCUUGGGAAUCAAAGAUUUAAGCCAUUUCCAUUGAUGUAGAGCCUCAUCUUGGUUAAUUACAAUCAAGUUCUGAUUUUAUCUUAUUUUUUCAGAAGGCUAGCACAACAAAGGCUGCUAGAAAGAGAAAAGAGGUCUAUUCUAUACUGACACCAAGUAGAUAGGAUCAACAAUUAAGGGAUCUAAGGAGAAAAUUAGAAGGAAAUUUUGUUGGGGAAACAAACCCCUUUGUACUUUAUUGUGCAAAUCAAAGAUAUUAACAAGCAAAUAGCAAGUUGUAAUAUAUAUAUAUAUAAUCAAUUUAAGAAACACAAUGUGAGCAAAUAACAGAGACCAAGAUUUAUGUGUAAAAUGUGAGGGUAAAAAUAAUGGGACCGAAAUCCACAAACUUCCACUAUCAAUCAAAUAGUAGGGUACAAGUUCAAUCAGUUACAAACUAGCUGAAUACAUCAAGAGAGGAACUCUUAGUUACCAAUAACAACAAGCAUCAUCUAAAUGGAUGGAAUAAUCAAAUGAGAAAGAUCUCACCAAUAAGAAAGCAAGAGAGAGAGAGAUCGCGCGUCAAAAAAUGUUGUAGGAUAUUUUCUUCCUUCUACAACCCUUGUAUUUUCUUCCUGUCCCUUUCUCAAAAACCCUUCACCAUACCUUGUUCUUCUUCCAAAAAUCAGACAAGCCAAAAAUACAGAAGGCUUUUUGAUUUUCCUUUACUGUCUUGUAACACUUUUUCUUCUUACUGUCUUUAUUGUUUUGUGGAGACGGGAUCUGCUCCUCACAUAUG